UCAUUUCCGUAUUGAUGAAAUUUUAAUACGUUUUCAAUUUGUUUGAUUUUUUAUUUUUUGCUGCCUUGCUGAGAACACACGAUUCGUUGACUUUUUCAUUGUCCUUUGUUUAUUUAACCGGAGGGCAAAAAGGAACCCCCAUGGUGCCAUUAAGGCAAAAACCCUUAAGGGAAAAGAAUUGCAUACAGUCUCAAUCGGCGGGAUGCGUUAUGGGAAUGCUUGCCAUAAAGGAAUAAGGAAAAAACUUAUGAAAUCCCAAAAUUACCCCUAUAUGUGAGCAGAACCAAUAGCAGGAAGGAGUGCCGUAGGUAACAGAGGCGAUAUGGGAAAAAGAGCAAUCAAAUGGUAUGUGGCAUGCCUCGCACACAAAGCGACUUUUCUUCAAAUGACCACACAUUUGAUUCUCAGCAAAGGAAGAAGGGAACAAUCACACAACUGUUGCUCAUAUGGCUGAGAAAAAUUGCAAUCAAUUGAAAAAUGAUUCUUAAACUGAGGAUUUUGUGUAGAAAGCAAGCAAUCUUUGCUUGCAAUCUCUUAAUCUUAAAUGCAUUAAACGAAAGAAAAUUCCUGUGGAUAGCUCA
rnacentral:sRNA from 1 species